rnacentral:rRNA from 1 species
GGAGGAAAGCAGGGGAUCGCAAGACCUUGCGCUUUUGGAGUGGCCGAUGCCUGAUUAGCUAGUUGGUAGGGUAAUGGCUUACCAAGGCGACGAUCAGUAGUUGGUCUGAGAGGACGACCAGCCACACUGGGACUGAGACACGGCCCAGACUCCUACGGGAGGCAGCAGUGGGGAAUUUUGGACAAUGGGCGAAAGCCUGAUCCAGCAAUGCCGCGUGAGUGAAGAAGGCCUUCGGGUUGUAAAGCUCUUUCAGUCGAGAAGAAAAGGUUGUGACUAAUAAUCACAACUCAUGACGGUAUCGACAGAAGAAGCACCGGCUAACUACGUGCCAGCAGCCGCGGUAAUACGUAGGGUGCGAGCGUUAAUCGGAAUUACUGGGCGUAAAGGGUGCGCAGGCGGCUUUGUAAGUCAGAUGUGAAAUCCCCGGGCUUAACCUGGGAAU